rnacentral:tRNA from 1 species
GGGUGUUGUUCAACGGCUAGAAUGCCAGCCUUCCAAGCUGGAGACGUGGGUUCGAUUCCCAUCACCC